GAUGAGUCCGAGGGCCACAGCGGUGAGAGUCCAGCCCACACAGCCCAGCCAGAGGGCGCCGAGCUGGGCUUGAACGGUGUGAGCCAGGUUGUUUCCUCUUUCUCGUCACCAGGGUUACCUGCAGCUUCCUCUGAGAGACCAGAAACACACACACACAGAAGAUUCAAAUGGAAACUCAGAAAACUACAAAAAUAACAUUCAAGCUCAUCACCAUGAUGGAAAAAA